GAAGAACAUCCUGAUGGUGUGACUGUGAGUUACAGCAUGAUAAAUUGCCAGCUGACGUGCCUUGCACAUACAAGCCAAGAAUGCUAAAAAGCAGGAAACAAAAUGGAAGCAUUGUGAACAGGCAGCUGGAGGGAAACCUGCCAAGUACCCAUGAAAAGGAGAGUGCUACAGACAUCAUUUUCCAGCACCCCAAUCCUUAGCACUUCAGAAAUGCUUUAUUUGGAAUGCUGCCAGGCUGCAAGCACACAACCUCUUUUGAAGUGUAGAGUUGUCACAGAAGAAGGCUUGUGAAUAUGUGAAACAGGUCGGAGCCUCACAGCCGAAAUACGUUGACUCUUGUCAGGAGCAAUCAACCCCUCAAGUGAGUGUCUCAUCUCAGGGCUCGAUGAAAAAUCAAAUGCACAACAACAACACACAGCAAUUUACUGAAGCAGUGACACUCAAGUAACAUGAGAAUUAGUGCGCACAGGCAUUAUCAGCAUGAGAAUUAAAAUCUAAUUAGAACUGCUCCAUGUCAAGUGUCAGCAAGUUAAUCAGUCUGAGAUUUCCAAAAUGGUACCAACUAGACAGACUAAAAUGUAAAGCAAGAAAAUCACAGACAGCCUUAUAAUUUAAAAAGCAGUGUUUGACACUUCAACCUUUUACACACUCAUUUGGAAAUAAAUGCCUUUGAAAUCAAGGGGGCUUAUGCCUCAGUAGAAUAUAAGGAAUUUAAAAUAACGCCAUAGAGAUGAACCAAUGAUACACGGAAUGAAUGUUCUAGUUCUUCCAUGAACUUUUAUUUCAUCUUGAAGACAGUUAAAAAUAGAGGCAAUAAAAGAAUGUCAUAAUCACAUGCAACAUGAUGGCUAA